UGCAGUCGAACGAUGAUGCCCAGCUUGCUGGGCGGAUUAGUGGCGAACGGGUGAGUAAUACGUGAGUAACCUGCCCUUGACUCUGGGAUAAGCCUGGGAAACUGGGUCUAAUACUGGAUACUACCUCUUGCCGCAUGGUGGGUGGUGGAAAGGGUUUUACUGGUUUUGGAUGGGCUCACGGCCUAUCAGCUUGUUGGUGGGGUAAUGGCUCACCAAGGCGACGACGGGUAGCCGGCCUGAGAGGGUGACCGGCCACACUGGGACUGAGACACGGCCCAGACUCCUACGGGAGGCAGCAGUGGGGAAUAUUGCACAAUGGGCGGAAGCCUGAUGCAGCGACGCCGCGUGAGGGAUGACGGCCUUCGGGUUGUAAACCUCUUUCAGUAGGGAAGAAGCGAGAGUGACGGUACCUGCAGAAGAAGCGCCGGCUAACUACGUGCCAGCAGCCGCGGUAAUACGUAGGGCGCAAGCGUUGUCCGGAAUUAUUGGGCGUAAAGAGCUCGUAGGCGGUUUGUCGCGUCUGCUGUGAAAGCCCGGGGCUCAACCCCGGGUCUGCAGUGGGUACGGGCAGACUAGAGUGCAGUAGGGGAGACUGGAAUUCCUGGUGUAGCGGUGAAAUGCGCAGAUAUCAGGAGGAACACCGAUGGCGAAGGCAGGUCUCUGGGCUGUUACUGACGCUGAG
rnacentral:rRNA from 1 species